CUGCCCUUCCAUCCCUUGGAUAGAUAGAGAGGGAGGGCAGAGCUUUUGGUUUUUUCAUGUUGUCAAAGAGUUGAACAAUGGUUUUUCGUGUUGUCAAAGAUUUGAACAAUGAAAAUAGAUGGCGAGUGCCUGAUCGAAUUGAUCAGGUCAUGUAGGAACAAGGUUCAAGUCUACCGGUCUGUUAGGAUGCCUCAGCUGCAUACAUCACUGCACUUCCACUUGACACCUAUCGUAAUGAUAAACGGCUCGUCUCGCCGUGACCUUC
rnacentral:rRNA from 17 species